AAACUAGAAGAUGCAUCUGGCAAAGAAUGUAAAGCAUUGACGACGCUAAAGAAUGGGGCAUAUAUAGUUGCUCCGUGUCCGCAUGAUGGACGUUGUCCUAUGGAUAACACUGGAAAAUAUUGUCAUUUUGUUCAACGCUUGCAGAGGACAACAUCACAA